UCAACUUUAUUGUACUUUUAGCAAAAUUCCAUGUUCACACCAGCAAAUUUUCAAAACAAAAACCCAACCUGACUGUCUUCCUUGCAUAUUUAAAAUUCUACCUUGACACUUUAAAACUUUGCAGUAACCCCAAAGCUGUGAAGACAAGAACGCUUUGUGUUGAAUUUGAUUUCAUUUGAUGUACAUUCCUCUUAUACAUUCUUUAUUUAUUUCUUAAUUUUGUGAACUGUAUUAUGUAUUUAUAUGCUUUCUUUAUAUCUGUUUUAUACUAUGAGAUGCAUACUACCUCGAGCAUACAAUGUUCCUGAUGAAAUUGUGAACUGUUAUUGUUCAGUUUUGUAAAUAAAGUUAUUUAAAAAUUGUUUAAAAAAAACCCUGCUGGCCCCCCUCUCAGAGCUGUCAGUCACUUGAUCUACCUGGAGAAAGAACUGGAAAGCUAAAAUACAAGAAGACUGGGACUGUUCAUCAGCAAAAGAAGGAACAUUGCAAAGUGAUGAGAUGGAAGGCCCAUCAUCUGCAGUUCAACAUGCAGCAGGGUUUCUUCAUAGCUUGGAGGCUGGUGGCAUCAGCACAGGGUGGAAAUGAUAUCAGUCUCAAUAACCUCAACCAAAAAUUAGCUGCACCGAAAUUUCAAGUGAAAGAAAGAGGACAGUUGGAGCACAAACUUCGAUUCCGGAGACACUGUGGGAAGAGACCAGGAGGAUGCAGUUCUACGGGAUACAAGCCACACCGACAAUAGACGUCCAGAGUCAAGCUCUGCAGGAAGUGCCAUCAGAUGUGGAAGAUACCAAAUGAAUAAAGAUGAUUGUAAUGCUUACAAAACAAUGCAAAUGCCUUUUUAUCAGAAAUAAAAGAUUUAAAAUCAGA